rnacentral:misc_RNA from 1 species
GAUGAAGAACGUAGCGAAAUGCGAUAAGUAAUGUGAAUUGCAGAAUUCAGUGAAUCAUCGAAUCUUUGAACGCACCUUGCGCUCCUUGGUAUUCCGAGGAGCAUGCCUGUUUGAGUGUCAUUAAAUUCUCAACCUUAUUAGCUUUUGCUGAUAAUGGCUUGGACUUGGGGGUCUUUUUGCUGGCUUUCAUUAGUCUGCUCCCCUUAAAUGUAUUAGCCGGUGCCCCGCAGUGGAACCGUCUAUUGGUGUGAUAAUUAUCUACGCCGUGGACGUCUGCUAUAAUGGGUUUGCGCUGCUUCUAACCGUCUCUCGGGACAACACAAAUGACAAUUUGACCUCAAAUCAGGUAGGACUACCCGCUGAACUUAAGCAUAUCAAUAAGCGGAGG